CAAUGAAAUCCCCUUUGAUCUCAUAGUGAUCUCAGAGUUGAAGCGUUCUCUGACAACCAGACAGAAGAAUAGAUAAUCUCAAAGCAUACCACACACAUACCUCUACUGCUCUUUGGAUUGAGUCCCUGUUUUGGUGUUCCAGUCUCAGACUAUGGUGGUACUUAAGGGGGAGUCCAUCACCUUGCUGUGCUCAGUUGUGGUACAUGUAGCCUGGUUUAAUCAAGUCAACAGAUCAGAGCCUGUGUGUAUCUCGGUUAUGUAAGGCUUCAAUUCAUCAGUUGAUUGUGACUUAAAAAAUAGAAACUUUUAAAUGUACAGCAACAUCACCACCAUCUUGCUUAACAUCACAUAAGUGGAAAUAGCUGACAGCGGCCUGUUUUUCUGUGGAUUCUAAACAAAUACUAAGCACAUGGCAUUUUUCAAUGAAACAACAAUUUCAUAUGAUAAUGGACAGCGUAAUGCAACUAACAGUCUUGGAGUGGGUGGUGGAUCUAUGGACUUGUUGCCAAUGGUUGUGAGCCUGUGUGGUGUGACUGCUGUACUCCUGAUAGUCAUUAUCAUUCUGGUCCUCAAGAUCCGACGAGACACAAAAACAGAUAAUGAGACUCAACUGCAGAGCCAAAAUAACCAGGAUGUGGAUGAGGACACAGAUCUUAACUAUGCAGCACUGAAUUUUAGUCAGAAGACGCCAAGAAAUCAGCUGAACAUGAUGGAGAAGGAUUUGGAUUCCACUAGAUAAUGUAAAAUGUUUUUAUGUUGACAUUGAUUGUUGUUGUUUUUGGUCACAAAUCAAUGUAACAUUGAUUGUUGAUGUUGCUGGGCUCUGUCCUCCUAUUUUAUUACUCAUCAAACAAAUAAGGGGCACUCUUGGAACUUCUAAGACAUAUUGGUCACAUUUUCUUCAUAUAUGACAUAUAUGGCCUGCUGAGGUGACCAUCAGUAUGUUAUUACCUUCUGAAUUCAAAUAAGAAAUUAAACAACGAUGCCAAGAACAUUUUUGUAAAUGACAUUACAUAUGAUUUUGAAUGCAAAAUGCAAAAAACUUUUGGAACAAAUUUAAAGUACAUGCAAUAAAAAGACACGGUUUGUAUGUUUGUCUCUCACUCUGUGUGUAAACCACACAUCUUCAAACCA